rnacentral:misc_RNA from 1 species
CAGUGAGUCAUUCGAAUUUUUGAACGCACAUUGCGCCCCUUGGUAUUCCGAGGGGCAUACCUGUUCGAGCGUCAUUAACAACCCCUCAAGCCUAGCUUGGUCUUGGAGUCGCUAUUUUAGCGGCCCCUAAAUUCAGUGGCGGUGCCUGUAGGUUCCACGCGAAGUAAUUAUUCUCGCGAUGGAUCCCCUAUAAGUCUCUAGCCAACAACCCCAAUUUUUUUUUCAGGUUGACCUCGGAUCAGGUAGGGAUACCCGCUGAACUUAAGCAUAUCAAUAAGCGAGAGGA